GAUGAAGAACGCAGCGUAAUGCGAUAAGUAAUGUGAAUUGCAGAAUUCAGUGAAUCAUCGAAUCUUUGAACGCACAUUGCGCCCGCCAGUAUUCUGGCGGGCAUGCCUGUUCGAGCGUCAUUUCAACCAUCAAGCCCCGGGCUUGUGUUGGGGACCUGCGGCUGCCGCAGGCCCUGAAAUGCAGUGGCGGGCUCGCUGUCACUCCGAGCGUAGUAGUUACAUCUCGCUCUGGGCGUGCUGCGGGUUCCGGCCGUUAAAAGCCUUAUUUACCCAAGGUUGACCUCGGAUCAGGUAGGAAGACCCGCUGAACUUAAGCAUAUCAAUAAGCGGAGGA
rnacentral:misc_RNA from 1 species